rnacentral:rRNA from 1 species
AUUGAACGCUGGCGGCAGGCCUAACACAUGCAAGUCGAGCGAGCGGCGGACGGGUGAGUACUGUAUGGGGACUGCCCGAUCGAGUGGGAUAACUACUGGAAAAGGUAGCUAAUACCGCAUACUAUCGGAUAACCCAUAUGGGAUUACCUUGUAGGUGAGGUAACGGCUAGCCUAGGCGACGCUCCCUAGCUGGUCUGAGAGGAUGAUCAGCCACCCUGGGAAUGAGACACGGCCCAGACUCCUACGGAUGCAGCAGUGGGGAAUAGUGCACAAUGGGCGCAAGCCUGAUGCAGCCAUGCCGAGUGUAUGAAGUAGGCCUUCGGGUUGUAAAGUACUUUCAGUCGGGAGGCGUUACCGACAGAAGAAGCACCGGCUAACUCCGUGCCAGCCGCAGCGGUAAUAC